rnacentral:rRNA from 1 species
AGCUCCAGGAGUGUAUAUUAAAGUUGCUGCGGUUAAAAAGCUCGUAGUUGAAUUUCUGCCAAAGCUGGCUGGUCCGCCCUUUGGGUGAGCAUCUGGCUCGGUGGGGCAUUUCUUGGGGAGUGUGUCUUCACUUGAUUGUGUGAUGUGUUGCCCAGGACAUUUACUUUGAGAAAAUUAGUGUGUUUCAAGCAGGAUCAUGCCUUGAAUACAUUAGCAUGGAAUAAUGGUAUAAUGUCUUGGUUGUAUUUUGUUGGCGUCUAUGGCUGAGGUGAUGAUGAAAAGGGAUACUUGGGGGCAUACGAAUUUAACUGCCAGAGGUGAAAUUCUUGGAUUUGUUGAAGACGGACUGCUGCGAAAGCAUUUGCCAUGAAUGUUUUCA